rnacentral:rRNA from 1 species
UUCUUAUAGGAAUAAUUAUAAGUAAAACCUGCUCAAUGGUAACAAAUAGCCGCAGAUCCAAUACUGUGCUAAGGUAGCAUAAUCAUUUGUCUUAUAAUUAAAGACCAGUAUGAAAGGUUAAACGUUUAAUAACUAUAUAAAAUUUAAAUAUAAAAAUUAAAAUAAAUGUAAAAAUUCAUUUAUAAAAAAUAAAGACGACAAGACCCUAUUGAACUUAACUAAUGUUAGACUGGGAUAGUUAAUUAAAAAAAUUUUAAUUAAAAUUAAUAAAUAAACCUUUUAAAAAAUAUUUAAUCAAUGUUACCAUAGGGAUAACAGCGCAAUUUAAUUUAAAAGCUCAUAUUUUAAAUCAAGAUUACGACCUCGAUGUUGAAUAAUAAAUCUAAUACAGUGCAACGACUUAAAAAGAAGGUCUGUUCGACCUUUAAUUUAUUACA